GACGAACGCUGGCGGCGUGCCUAAUACAUGCAAGUUGAGCGCUGAAGGUUGGUACUUGUCCCGACUGGAUGAGCAGCGAACGGGUGAGUAACGCGUGGGGAAUCUGCCUUUGAGCGGGGGACAACAUUUGGAAACGAAUGCUAAUACCGCAUAAAAACUUUAAACACAAGUUUUAAGUUUGAAAGAUGCAAUUGCAUCACUCAAAGAUGAUCCCGCGUUGUAUUAGCUAGUUGGUGAGGUAAAGGCUCACCAAGGCGAUGAUACAUAGCCGACCUGAGAGGGUGAUCGGCCACAUUGGGACUGAGACACGGCCCAAACGCCUACGGGAGGCAGCAGUAGGGAAUCUUCGGCAAUGGACGAAAGUCUGACCGAGCAACGCCGCGUGAGUGAAGAAGGGUUUCGGAUCGUAAAACUCUGUUGGUAGAGAAGAACGUUGGUGAGAGUGGAAAGCUCAUCAAGUGACGGUAACUACCCAGAAAGGGACGGCUAACUACGUG
rnacentral:rRNA from 1 species